GUGGCUCCGCACUGGAGUUGGGGAGGCAAGUCCUCCAGCCUCGGGCUUUUAAUAUUCACAUCACGUCCUCUUUGCAGCUACUUUGGGAGGAUUGAAAGCUACAAAGGACGUUUGGGUGACCUCCCCACAACACAAGGUGGGGUGGGGGGUUUCAACCCACACUGCCCCAUCUUGAAUCGCCAUGGAUGACCAAGUAGUUGAAACACGACGGGGGACUUAGGUGCCAGUCCUUCUAGGCAGAAGGGCCCUCUUGGAGCUUCUUGGAUAGCAGUGGCUUCAAUCAAGUCUGAAUUCACCGGCAUCUUUGGGCCCCGGACAUUGGGCAAUACGGUAACUUUCCAGAAGAUGAACUGAGCCAGAAAUAAUUCCACCCCCUACUAUAUACCUCCAGCUCCUACAACAGAAUCUCUGCUUAGCUUGGUACCAUUUCCUCUGAGACUCGACUUUCUAGAGCUUUCCUCAUCGAAAGCAGGGCUCAAAAAUAAAUUUAAGGAUGGGAGAACAUACCAACUUUCAUACAACACCAAGUUUAGAGUCUUUUAACUUGAGUUCCGGGAGCUGCCACUGGCUCAUCAAAACAGGGUACCGGCCAGGUACAGUGGCUUACACCUGUAAUCCUAGCACUUUGGGAGGCCGAGGCAGGCUGACUGCCUGAGCUCAGGAGUUCGAGACCAGCUUGGGUAACGCCGUGAAAAACCGUCUCUACUAAAAUACCAAAGAAA
rnacentral:lncRNA from 1 species